rnacentral:rRNA from 1 species
GACAUAUUCCGGUUGAUCCUGCCGGAGGUCAUUGCUAUUGGAGUCCGAUUUAGCCAUGCUAGUUGCACGAGUUCAGGCUCGUAGCAGAUAGCUCAGUAACACGUGGCCAAACUACCCUAUGGACCUGGACAACCUCGGGAAACUGAGGCUAAUCCGAGAUACAGUUCGCAGCCUGGAAUGGCGCGAACUCGAAACGUUACGGCGCCAUAGGAUGUGGCUGCGGCCGAUUAGGUAGACGGUGGGGUAACGGCCCACCGUGCCGAUAAUCGGUACGGGUUGUGAGAGCAAGAGCCCGGAGACGGAAUCUGAGACAAGAUACCGGGCCCUACGGGGCGCAGCAGGCGCGAAACCUUUACACUGCACGACAGGGAUAGGGGAUCGGUGGGGGAUCGUCUCGUUUUGUCGUAGGGUACAGGAACAUGUGGGCAGACCGGGCCGCCGCGCGUAAUACGGCAGCACGAGUGAGGCCGAUAUUAUGGGCCUAGCGUCCGUGCUA